AUACGUAGGGUGCGAGCGUUAAUCGGAAUUACUGGGCGUAAAGCGUGCGCAGGCGGUUUCGUAAGACAGACGUGAAAUGCCCGGGCUUAACCUGGGAACUGCGUUUGUGACUGCGAGACUCGAGUGUGGCAGAGGGGGGUGGAAUUCCACGUGUAGCAGUGAAAUGCGUAGAGAUGUGGAGGAACACCGAUGGCGAAGGCAGCCCCCUGGGUCAACACUGACGCUCAUGCACGAAAGCGUGGGGAGC
rnacentral:rRNA from 1 species